GUCCACGCCGUAAACGUUGGGCGCUAGGUGUGGGGUUCCUUCCACGAACUCCGUGCCGCAGCUAACGCAUUAAGCGCCCCGCCUGGGGAGUACGGCCGCAAGGCUAAAACUCAAAGGAAUUGACGGGGGCCGCACAAGCGGCGGAGCAUGCGGAUUAAUUCGAUGCAACGCGAAGAACCUUACCAAGGCUUGACAUGCACGGGAAAGUUCCAGAGAUGGUUCCCCCGCAAGGUCCGUGCACAGGUGGUGCAUGGUUGUCGU
rnacentral:rRNA from 1 species